rfam:Pseudomonas sp. FeS53a scaffold22.1, whole genome shotgun sequence.
UUCGGGCCCGCAGCGUCAUUCCGCUGCCCUCUGCAAGCCGCCGUCGACGCAUUCCAACUCGAAUCACGCGCAGCGAUCUGUCGCCUCCUUCGGCGCGGC